rnacentral:rRNA from 1 species
UACAGGGGGUGCAAACGUUGCUCGGAAUCAUUGGGCGUAAAGGGCGCGUAGGCGGCCAGCACAAGUCAGUUGUGAAAUCUCCGAGCUUAACUCGGAAAGGUCAACUGAUACUGUGCGGCUAGAGUGCGGAAGGGGCAACUGGAAUUCUUGGUGUAGCGGUGAAAUGCGUAGAUAUCAAGAGGAACACCUGCGGCGAAGGCGGGUUGCUGGGCCGACACCGACGCUGAGGCGCGAAAGCCAGGGGAGCGAACGGG